rnacentral:rRNA from 1 species
CGGCGCACCGCUGGCCGACCCCGAUCUUCUGUGAAGGGUUCGAGUCGGAGCACGCCCGUCGGGACCCGANAGAUGGUGAACUAUGSCUGAGCGGGGCGAAGCCAGAGGAAACUCUGGUGGAGGCUCGAAGCGAUACUGACGUGCAAAUCGUUCGUCUGACUUGGGUAUAGGGGCGARAGACUAAUCGAACCAUCUAGUAGCCGAGCCGGGAUGUGGCGGCUGACGGCGACGUUAGGAAGUCCGGAGACGCCGGCGGGGGCCUCGGGAAGAGUUAUCUUUUCUGCUUAACGGCCCGCCAACCCUGGAAACGGCUCAGCCGGAGGUAGGGUCCAGCGGCCGGAAGAGCACNACGUCGCGCGGKGUCCGGUGCCCCCGGCGGCCCGUGAAAAUCCGGAGSACCGGCCCCGAACCCGUCGGCUGUCGGCGGACUGCUCGAGCUGCUNUGCGUGCCGGCCGGGGGACGGUUGGGGGGGCCUUCCCCGGGSGUCGAACAGUCGACUCAGAACUGGUACGGACAAGGGGAAUCCGACUGUUUAAUUAAAACAAAGCAUUGCGAUGGU